rnacentral:sRNA from 1 species
GCCAAGCCAAAAGGUCAUAAAAGCACAUUAUGCUUGUAUAUAAGUAUUUUUAUGCCUUUAUACCCCCGAAAUGAGGAUAAAAGUGGUGUCUAUGCACCAUGAUAUCUGAAUUUUGGGCAGGAUUGUGGGAACACCAAGUGCGGAGCAAUCCGUCAG